rnacentral:rRNA from 1 species
AACGUAGGAGACAAACGUUAUCCGGAGUUACUGGGCGUAAAGGGCGUGCAGGUGGUCCGUUAAGUUCGGCGUGAAAGCUUCUGGCUAAACCGGGAGAGGUCGUCGGAGACUGGCGGGCUAGAGGGUGAUAGAGGCGGGUGGAAUUCCGGGUGUAGUGGUGAAAUGCGUAGAGAUCCGGAGGAACACCAGUGGCGAAGGCGACCCGCUGGGUCACACCUGACACUGAGACGCGACAGCAUGGGGAGCGAAC